rnacentral:lncRNA from 1 species
GACCAGAUGAGAUAUUUUGCUUCAUUUAUGAUUUCUGCAGAAGUAUUUGUUUGUAAACAUGUCCAUCUGUUCUUCUGGAAUUGCACCACAUCACCAAAGAGGCGUCUGACCUUAAAAUCCAUGUGCCUGUGACUGGCAGUGUCUGGUGGCUGCUUUUCAUUUUUGAAUUGUUUCCUGAUUGCCUCCUUAUGAUAAUACUGUCCUUUGCAAGGUUUACAUCAUACCCAGAGGCCUUCGGCUUGGAACAUACUGAGACCAUGGAUCCUGUUUGCUGUGUUGUCAUCAGGAAGAAUGAUGCCCAUAGCAGGACACAGCUGAGUGUUAUCACAGUCUCUAGGCUUACAGACUGUGAACAUGCUCUGAUAACUAGCCAGCCAAAUGAUAUUGCAGUUGUGGGACCAGAGUCGUAUAAAAUAUUGAAAGGACAUAACGCAAGGGAAAGUGCAACAAGACAGCAGAGCAGCAAUGUCACAGGUCACUGCGAGUGAGGAUCCACUCAGAUACGACGGCAGUAGGUGCAGAAAUAAAAGAAAGAAACUGCCUGUAAGGUCCUCA